GUUUUAAUAAUUUAAUUAAAAUAUUAACCUUGUAAGUUAAAAUUAGAUACUAAUCUUUAAAACA
rnacentral:tRNA from 1 species